UACGUAGGUGGCAAGCGUUAUCCGGAAUUAUUGGGCGUAAAGGGUGCGCAGUCGGCUGAUUAAGUUUGUGGUGAAAGUGCGGGGCUUAACUCCGUAUGGCCAUGAAAACUGGUUAGCUAGAGUGCAGAAGAGGGUAGUGGAAUUCCAUGUGUAGCGGUAAAAUGCGUAGAUAUAUGGAGGAACACCAGUGGCGAAGGCGGCUACCUGGUCUGUAACUGACGAUGAGGCACGAAAGCGUGGGGAGCAAAUAGGAUUAGAUACCCUAGUAGUCCACGCUGUAAACGAUGAAUACUAAGUGUUGGAGAAACUCAGUGCUGCAGUUAACGCAAUAAGUAUUCCGCCUGGGGAGUAUGCACGCAAGUGUGAA
rnacentral:rRNA from 1 species